UCUUGGACCAAGUAACUGCUGCAGCGUGGGAUUUCUUCAGUAGGGGCUCGAGCACUGCAACCUCUUUCUAGGUUAGGACCUCGUCGCUUGGAAAGCAUACUGCCUCGCGGUUAGGACUCGUCAAGUAAAUCUCCAGGUAGAGGACGAGGCAGGGGC